AAGACUACACUUUCAGGGAUCAUUUCUAUAGUAUCCAACUAAAGAGAUGCACUCGAAAGCAAUUGUCUCUUCCCCAAACCCCCAAAACUUUAACCUUAGACUGUCUACUGUCGACUUCACCCCAUUCCUAAGAGGUCUUUAAGCGGGGU